GUCGAGAAUCUUUCACAAUGGGGGCAACCCUGAUGGAGCGACGCCGCGUGGAGGAUAAGGUCUUCGGAUUGUAAACUCCUGUCAUGCGUGAACAAGGUUGCUUGGUUAAUACCUGGGCAAAUUGAUGGUAACGCAAGAGGAAGAGACGGCUAACUCUGUGCCAGCAGCCGCGGUAAUACAGAGGUCUCAAGCGUUGUUCGGAAUCACUGGGCGUAAAGGGUGCGUAGGUGGCGUGGUAAGUCAGAUGUGAAAGCCCGGGGCUCAACCUCGGAACUGCAUCAGAUACUGCCAUGCUAGAGUACUGGAGAGGUGACUAGAAUUCUCGGUGUAGCAGUGAAAUGCGUAGAUAUCGAGAGGAAUACCAAAGGCGUAGGCAGGUCACUGGACAGUUACUGACACUGAGGCACGAAGGCCAGGGGAGCGAACGGGAUUAGAAACCCCGGUAGUCC
rnacentral:rRNA from 1 species